rfam:Cajanus cajan Scaffold132190_12, whole genome shotgun sequence.
UACCCUAUGAGGAAGAUCUCCCAAAAUUGAUAGGAAGUGCCGUAUGACACUCUAAACGCAGCGCCAAUCCAAAGAAUCUUCUCAUCCACCAAUGUCAUUGGUCGAGAUCCUUCUUUGUGGUUCUGUGUGUGUGUGAUUUGAAACGGGUCGCUGAGGGUU